GCAUCCAUAUUUCAGCUGGAUAAAGUACUCGGCUACGAACCGAGCGGUCGGAGGUUAGAGUCCUUCCGGGAUGUG
rnacentral:tRNA from 1 species